AGCGAACGCUGGCGGCAGGCCUAACACAUGCAAGUCGAACGUACUCUUCGGAGUUAGUGGCGGACGGGUGAGUAACACGUGGGAACGUGCCUUUUGGUUCGGAAUAACUCAGGGAAACUUGUGCUAAUACCGAAUGUGCCCUUCGGGGGAAAGAUUUAUCGCCAUUAGAGCGGCACGCGUCUGAUUAGCUAGUUGGUGAG
rnacentral:rRNA from 1 species